rfam:Salmo salar isolate Sally breed double haploid chromosome ssa01, whole genome shotgun sequence.
UAAUAAAAUCUAUGCACUAAGUCGCUCUGGAUAAGAGCAUCUGCUAAAUGACUAAAU